rnacentral:rRNA from 1 species
CCUACGGUAGGCAGCAGUAGGGAAUCUUCCACAAUGGGCGAAAGCCUGAUGGAGCAACGCCGCGUGGGUGAAGAAGGUCUUCGGAUCGUAAAACCCUUUUGUUAGAGAAGAAAGUGCGUGAGAGUAACUGUUCACGUUUCGACGGUAUCUAACCAGACAGCCACGGCUAACUACGUGCCAGCAGCCGCGGUAAUACGUAGGUGGCAAGCGUUAUCCGGAUUUAUUGGGCGUAAAGGGAACGCAGGCGGUCUUUUAAGUCUGAUGUGAAAGCCUUCGGCUUAACCGGAGUAGUGCAUUGGAAACUGGGAGGCUUGAGUGCAGAAGAGGCGAGUGGAACUCCAGGUGUAGCGGUGAAAUGCGUAGAUAUAUGGAAGAACACCAGUGGCGAAAGCGGCUCUCUGGUCUGUAACUGACGCUGAGGUUCGAAAGCGUGGGUAGCAAACAGGAUUAGAUACCCGAGUAGUC